rnacentral:rRNA from 1 species
UACGUAGGGUGCGAGCGUUAAUCGGAAUUACUGGGCGUAAAGCGUGCGCAGGCGGUUCGUUAAGUUCGUUGUGAAAGCCCCGGGCUCAACCUGGGAACUGCAAUGGAAACUGGCGGGCUUGAAUGCGGCAGAGGGGGUGGAAUUCCGCGUGUAGCAGUGAAAUGCGUAGAGAUGCGGAGGAACACCGAUGGCGAAGGCAGCCCCCUGGGCCGACAUUGACGCUCAGGCACGAAAGCGUGGGGAGCAAACAGG